rnacentral:rRNA from 1 species
GACGAACGCUGGCGGCGUGCUUAACACAUGCAAGUCGAACGGUGAAAGCGGAGCUUGCUCCGCUGGAUCAGUGGCGAACGGGUGAGUAACACGUGGGCAACCUGCCCCUCACUUCGGGAUAACUCCGGGAAACCGGGGCUAAUACCGGAUAUGACCUCCUUGGGCAUCCUUGGAGGUGGAAAGUUUUUCGGUGAGGGAUGGGCCCGCGGCCUAUCAGCUUGUUGGUGAGGUAGUGGCUCACCAAGGCGACGACGGGUAGCCGGCCUGAGAGGGCGACCGGCCACACUGAGACUGAGACACGGCCCAGACUCCUACGGGAGGCAGCAGUGGGGAAUAUUGCGCAAUGGGCGAAAGCCUGACGCAGCAACGCCGCGUGCGGGAUGACGGCCUUCGGGUUGUAAACCGCUUUCAGCAGGGAAGAAGCCGCAGGGUGACGGUACCUGCAGAAGAAGCACCGGCUAACUACGUGCCAGCAGCCGCGGUAA